UAGUGAGUUUGAUCCUGGCUCAGGAUGAACGCUGGCGGCGUGCUUAACACAUGCAAGUCGAACGAUGAUCCGGUGCUUGCUUCGGGGUGAACAGUGGCGAACGGGUGAGUAACACGUGAGUAACCUGCCCCUGACUCUGGAAUAAGCGCUGGAAACGGCGUCUAAUACCGGAUAUGACACGCCUCCGCAUGGGGAGCGUGUGGAAAGUUUUUCGGUCUGGGAUGGACUCGCGGCCUAUCAGCUAGUUGGUGAGGUAAAGGCUCACCAAGGCGACGAUCAGUAGCUGGUCUGAGAGGACGACCAGCCACACUGGAACUGAGACACGGGCCCAGACUCCUACGGG
rnacentral:rRNA from 1 species